rnacentral:rRNA from 1 species
CAGCAGCCGCGGUAAAACGAAGGGUGCAAGCGUUACUCGGAAUUACUGGGCGUAAAGCGUGCGUAGGUGGUGGUUUAAGUCCGUUGUGAAAGCCCUGGGCUCAACCUGGGAAUUGCAGUGGAUACUGGGUCACUAGAGUGUGGUAGAGGAUAGUGGAACUUCCGGUGUAGCAGUGAAAUGCGUAGAGAUCGGAAGGAACAUCUGUGGCGAAGGCGACUAUCUGGGCCAACACUGACACUGAGGCACGAAAGCGUGGGGGGCAAACAGGAUUAGAUACCCCCGUAGUCCCUGUCUCUUAUAA